rnacentral:tRNA from 1 species
UUUAAACCCGGAGAAGAGUA